rnacentral:lncRNA from 1 species
CUGGAAAGUAGUACUGUGUUCCCUGAGGGAAAUCAGACACCUGCUCUCUGCUAAGGAUGAAAUUUAAAGGAACAACAUUAUUUACUGUUAAUUCUCUCCGUUUACCAGAGAGUCUUCUUUUUUAGAAUUAAUGAAUAAUGGUUGAAAUCUGGUCCUGCUAUAAAAUAACCAUGGGGACUAUAUAAACGUGUUUUGCUUGCAUUUUUUAUUUUUAGUUUUUAUUUUUAUUUUUACAAGCAAACUAUAAAACAUUUUUUCAAGAAGUUUUGUUUUGCUAGCAAUAGUUUUCCACUGCAGAGAAUAAUGAAUUACAAGUUCCAAAAUGAAAUGGAGCCCUGGAGCUCCUUCAUCUUUGCCCUUGAAACUUCUGAAAAGUUUGAAUCAAGGUCUAAAGGAAAGUUUCCUCCCCCUUCCUUGCAGCUGAGCUUUUGAGAAUCACAUACACACUUUUCUAUUUUUACUUUCUAGCCUGGGCCCAUUUCCAAUUUUAAAACUGUGGGAUUCCUGCACUCCUACAUAUGUGAGACCCAGACUGAACUCAAAGGAUGGGCCAGUUUACCCUCCUUUUCCUCCCAACCAGCUUAGUUUCAUAACAGUGCACAAUUGAAAUUGGAGACCACUUGGGUUUCCUUACUUUGAAAAAGCUCAGAAGAAACAUUUACAACUCCUAAUGAACGACUGCAGAGAGGAGUUGAAAUUAAGUCAGCAGAGAUCACGAUUUGUUUUGGCUCAGAUCCUAAUCCAGUUUAUAAUCCAAGGUCUGGAGUCCCAGUACCAGAUUACUCUGAGUGAUGAAGAAAUGAUAGCCAGGAACUCUGUAGACACAGACAAGGAAAAUCUGUGAUAUCCUCCUAUGUGUUGCUCUUACCUGAAGGGUACCUGAGCUCCAGAAGUCAAAGGAAUUAAAAAUAAUAGUUUCUUGAACCUUUCUAUUGCUCAACAAAAGAAAACAGAGGCUUGUGAAGAGAAUGCAUCUCUUAAAAUGGUAAGCAAUUGCAGACUGUCUUUCGAAUAUGUUAAACAUGGUAUUUUCAUCUCCAUAUUUUCCACUUUUUCCAGAAAAUCUGUGAGUAAAAGAUUCCAAAAAGACGUUUUAUUUUCCCAGUUAAAUAUUAUGAAAAUAAAUUCACCAUACAGGAAAAAUUAUUAAUCUUG